CCAUAACAUGGUGAUCGAUGGUAGAUUACGUUUUGUUUGAUUUUAUCGACGUUGUGGAUACAACAACUGUUCAGCAAGAAGUUGAAAUCACAGGAAUGGCUAACGAAGUUGUAAAAGUUCCACUGGAAGAUGAAGAGAAUAAUUUAGGUUACUGCAAGUAUCAAUUAGAAGAAGAAAAAGGCGGUCCUGAUGUAGUCGAGGAGACAUUAGAACUAAACGAAAACAAGUGGUGGUUUCAGUGUCUAAUGUUGUUGUUUUUGCAUCUCACAUUGCUUUGUAUAGUUUUCCAAGUGUUUUUAAAGUGUCCAACAUGGAAUAAAACGAUGGUGGCAUUUGCAAUUGUACAGGUCGUAAUCGUCGUCUUGGCCUACCUCAUGCGACACUAUGGCCACAGGAAUAUGGGACAGCGAAAAAUUACUUUUGCUUUUCUGCUUGUAUUUUCUGCCACUGAAAUGGUUAUUUUUGGGUCCACAUUACCCGUGGGAACCGAGACGGAUUGUGACCGUUGUUACCUGGCCCCAGAUGAUGUUCUGUUGUUAAUAAUAUUGACAUGUUUCUAUUGUGUCCAGCUCACAGUUCUUGCUUGCACAUCGCAUCCUUGCUGGGUUAAACCAGCAUUUAAAUACAAGAACUUUACACCAUCCGUUAGUUGACAUUUGUUUGUUGUGUGUUAGAUAAGUGGAUGGAUGAACUGUUUGAACUGACAUGCAGUGCCGAAUAUAUAUCAUAUAGGAGUACUGAAGUCAUUGCGAACCUUUUUUACCAGGCUUUUAUAAUCUAGUCUAGUCAAGACAAACUAGACAGACAAUGCAGGUUAUUUUUACAAUUGUACCACAAGUUAGUCCUGCGCUUACCGAGUUUUUAUACGCCCACAUUUUCAUUUAGACGUAUAUUGUCGACGCCCCUGUCCGUCCGGACGUCCACAAUUGUUUGUUGACUCUCUACAGGUCACAAUUCUUAUCUGAUUUUGACGAAACUUGAAAUAUAGGUUUAUCUCCAAAAGAUCUCCAAUUGUAACUUCAUGGAUUAUGGCACAAUUUUGAAACGAUUUUGAUGAAACUUGACAUGCAUGUUUAUAACCCAAAGAUCUUGGUUCCAUUCGAUAUUUGCGCAUAUCGGAUCAUAACUUCCUGAAUUAUGGCCCCUGAUUGUCCGAAAAAUCGCCUUUUUGAUAGCUUGUGAUCCCUCUGGAGGUCAUAAUUAUUAUACGAUUUAAUAAGCCGUUUGAUUACAUCACCGUUACACCGUAAGGAAGGUUGAGUUUGAAUUUCGUCAAAAUCGGACCAAAAUUGCCGGACAAAAUGGCCGCGGCUUGUAUGCGAAGUGUAAAAAUAUGGUAUAUCAAGGUUGUGGACCUUGUAGAGGUCACAAUUUUAAUUCGAUUUUGGUGAAACUUGAAAUGCAUGUUUAUAAGCUAAAGAUCUUGCUUCCAUUCGAUCGAUAUUUGAGCAUAUCGGAUCGUCACUUCAUGAAUUAUGACCCUUGAUUGUAGGAAAAAUCACUUUCUUUUUAGCUUGUUCUCUAUUCAUCUCUCGAAAAUGUGGGCGUAUCCUGCCUGGCAGCCGCUGGUCUCUCUUUUUGCCAACCAGAAAAUAUAGUUUAGCUAUAAACAAGCCAUCGCCAUCUUUAAGGACUGUGUGCGAUAUCACUUCGGUGGAAGCGGACGUAAAUAAAAGCCAUGUCACAUACACACACACACACACACCCACCCACAGCCCCACACACAUCGUUAAGGUUUACUGAACCCCUCUGAUUGUCCUGAAUGCAAGCCGGGGGGUCAUCUACCGGUGAUUAUUUGAUUGUGUGUUCUCUAUAAAGGUCAAAUAAUCAGUUUGUCGGUUUAUUUUAACGAAUCAGUUGAUUAAUUAGUACUCACAUCAUUCCUGUGAAGACGGCAUGCAAUUUUCGGUGUUCGAGUUGAGCCAUUUAUUUCAUUGCGUUACUUUUUUUUGUAUACCCUCGAGUUAAGACUUUGUAUGGAGUUCAAUCUUGACAAACCCAAAUUAUUUGUUGACGGUAGACAUUACUUGUGUUAAUUAUAUGGAAAAAAAACACAAGCCUAAAAAUUUACUCAAGUUUAUGGUCUUCUGUAUUCAAAUAUAAAACAGGUGAUAUUGAUCCCAAUAUCUUUUUACUUGAUCAAACCUGUUCACAACUACCCAGGCUAUUUAUAAUAUUGACUCUACUCAGUAUAAUAUCUACACAAUAAUCAAAUAAAAGCACUCAUGCAAGA